AGCACUUUAGCUUAGUGGUUAAAGCAUUUUCGUGGGAACAAAUGUCUGCGAGAAGACGUCGGUUCGAUUCCGGCAAGUGUGG